rnacentral:rRNA from 1 species
GACGAACGCUGGCGGCGUGCUUAACACAUGCAAGUCGAACGGACAGGCCCUGCUCUUGUGGGGUGCUCGAGUGGCGAACGGGUGAGUAACACGUGAGUAACCUGCCCUUGACUUUCGGAUAAAUCCAGGAAACUCGGGCUAAUACCGGAUAGGAGCUACUGCUGCAUGGUGGUGGUUGGAAAGAUUCGGCGGUUGUGGAUGGACUCGAGGCUUAUCCGCUUGUUUGUGGGGUAGUGGCUUACCAAGGCUUUGACGGGUAGCCGGCCUGAGAGGGUGACCGGCCACAUGGGGACUGAGAUACGGCGCAGACGCCUACGGUAGGCAGCAGUGGGGAAUAUUGCACAAUGGGCGGAAGCCUGAUGCAGCAACGCCGCGUGCGGGAUGACGGCCUUCGGGUUAUAAACCGCUUUCGCCGGUAACGAAGCGUGAGUGACGGUAAUGGAUAAAGAAGCACCGGCUAACUACGUG